rnacentral:rRNA from 1 species
UACGUAGGGGGCAAGCGUUGUCCGGAAUCAUUGGGCGUAAAGAGCGUGUAGGCGGCUCGGUAAGUCCGCUGUAAAAGUCCAGGGCUCAACCCUGGAAAGCCGGUGGAAACUGUCGAGCUAGAGUCCGGAAGAGGCGAGUGGAAUUCCUGGUGUAGCGGUGAAAUGCGCAGAUAUCAGGAAGAACACCCGUGGCGAAGGCGGCUCUCUGGGACGGUACUGACGCUGAGACGCGAAAGCGUGGGGAGCGAACAGG